UACGCACGCUGGCGGCGUGCCUAAUACAUGCAAGUUGAGCGCUGAAGGUUGGUACUUGUACCAACUGGAUGAGCAGCGAACGGGUGAGUAACGCGUGGGGAAUCUGCCUUUGAGCGGGGGACAACAUUUGGAAACGAAUGCUAAUACCGCAUAAAAACUUUAAACACAAGUUUUAAGUUUGAAAGAUGCAAUUGCAUCACUCAAAGAUGAUCCCGCGUUGUAUUAGCUAGUUGGUGAGGUAAAGGCUCACCAAGGCGAUGAUACAUAGCCGACCUGAGAGGGUGAUCGGCCACAUUGGGACUGAGACACGGCCCAAACUCCUACGGGAGGCAGCAGUAGGGAAUCUUCGGCAAUGGACGAAAGUCUGACCGAGCAACGCCGCGUGAGUGAAGAAUGUUGUCGGAUCGUAAAACUCUGUUGGUAGAGAAGAACGUUGGUGAGAGUGGAAAGCUCAUCAAGUGACGGUAACUACCCAGAAAGGGACGGCUAACUACGUG
rnacentral:rRNA from 1 species